rnacentral:lncRNA from 1 species
GGGAUUGUGCAGAGAAAUUUUAGACUAGGAAAAUCUGGUCUGAAUACAUCCAACUGUUGUCCCCAGACUGCUUAAUCCUGGGAGCAGAGCUGGCUGUGACUCUAUUACUGCAGUGACCCGAGGCCAUUGGCCACAGGGCUGCAGGACAGCUCUGUGCUGGCUCCUAUCUGUCACCUGGCACAGCCUCUUUCCUCAGCAGUUUGACAAAUUUUUUAUUUAAAUUGACUUAGAAGCCAACUUGUAAAAGCCUAGCAAAGAUGGUACCUUAGUAAAAUAAGGUGUGUAAACGGUGACCCUGUGAAAUUAGGUAUACCUAGACCCACUGAGCUCAUUUUCCUAUUCUAAGUGCCAUUUAAAUGUCUGUGCUCCUUACAGUCACAAGCCUGCGUGAAUCAACAGCGUGUUGCUGUUGUGUUUUACACAAACAAAAGCUCAGUUUUUCAAGCAGCUUGUCUUUCACCAGGGCCCGUGAGGAAGGAGUGAGAUCCCAGUGCACCAGGCUGCCGUCUUGGCCCACUGACCUCAUGCAGCUGGGCUGACCACUUGCCUGCCCAUGUACAUGUGGCACUGCAUUGUGGAGAAAGGUUCGGUGUUGUCUUCUGGAUCAUGGGAAACUUCACCGGAGCACUGCGUAGAACUCGGGCCAACUGGGAAUGCAAACCGCACUGACCAAGCAGAGUUGGGGAAGUUGCCAGCAAAUGCAGAAAAAAGGAAAGGAAGGAAGAUGUGGAAAGCAUGAGAUCUGACCUCUUUUAAGAGUGAUUUGAUGUUUCUUUAAGCAACACCCCGUCUCUAUGAAGAAAUGCCAACAGAGGAGAAGUUUCAGGCUUGCUAUUUUUAUUUAAGCUGUUGGAACGGUAUGGACAUAAUGUAAGUAACUGGACCAGCCAACAGGGUGUCUGUCAGUCAGUGACUCAGUCUUCAGAUCAGACAGAUGCAAGCCCUUAUAAAUAGGUUCAGCCCAAAAGUCAUGAUAAUAAAUAAUUUAUUUUCGUACA